rnacentral:rRNA from 1 species
UACAGAGGUGGCAAGCGUUGUUCGGAAUUACUGGGCGUAAAGGGCGCGUAGGCGGUCUUGCAAGUCCCGUGUGAAAUCCCUCGGCUCAACUGAGGAACUGCACGGGAAACUGCUUGGCUUGAGUUCGGGAGAGGGAAGCGGAAUUCCGGGUGUAGCGGUGAAGUGCGUAGAUAUCAGGAGGAACACCGGUGGCGAAGGCGCACAUCUGGCCCGAUACUGACGCUGAGGCGCGAAAGCUAGGGGAGCAAACGGG